rnacentral:rRNA from 1 species
UGGGGAAUUUUGGACAAUGGGGGCAACCCUGAUCCAGCAAUGCCGCGUGAGUGAAGAAGGCCUUCGGGUUGUAAAGCUCUUUUGUCUGGAAAGAAAUCGCCCGGGCUAAUACCCCUGGGUGGAUGACGGUACCGGAAGAAUAAGCACCGGCUAACUACGUGCCAGCAGCCGCGGUAAUACGUAGGGUGCAAGCGUUAAUCGGAAUUACUGGGCGUAAAGCGUGCGCAGGCGGUUUUUCAAGACCGAUGUGAAAGCCCCGGGCUUAACCUGGGGAAUGGCAUUGGUGACUGAGAGGCUAGAGUGUGUCAGAGGGGGGUAGAAUUCCACGUGUAGCAGUGAAAGUGCGUAGAGAUGUGGAGGAAUACCGAUGGCGAAGGCAGCCCCCUGGGAUAACACUGACGCUCAUGCACGAAAGCGUGGGGAGCAAACAGGAUUAGAUAGCCCUGGUAGUCCACGCCCCUAAAACCGAUGUCAACUAGUUGUCGGGUCUUAAUUGACUUGGUAACGCAGCUAACGCGUNAAGUUGACCGCCUGGGGAGUACGGUCGCAAGNUUAAAACCUCAAAGAUUGACGGGGUCAUAGCUGUUUCCUG